AAUUGUACGGUGGUGCAGUAUUCUAGUCAGAACACAUACGUAUGAGGGCGUGGUUAAAAUAACGCCGUAGGGCACAUCGAUGAAGUUUCUUGUGUUGGCUCGUUUUGCCCAAAUUCGGGUCGAUGCUGGGAGUUAAGAAUCGUGGGCGUUUCGUAACGGCAUACGGAAGCCGACCCACCUUUCGUGGAGACCUGCAAUGGUGGUCGAUUACUGGGCACUGUGCAGGAUUAAACCUGUAAUGCGGUAUCAAGCUGUGUGCAGUGUAGCCUGCCUUGAGUGAGAUAGGCGGAUUGGGAACCACACCGUUUGCGCCGGCAGGCGCAAACCGGUGAUUGCCCAUGAAACUUAAAUUGCAAAAGAGGAUAAGUCGUGUGUGGUCUGUUAAGGAAAUCUUCUAGACUGUAUUAGCAAUGUAAGGAUUAUAGUGCGACCUUAGUGGUGAUUCAGUUGCGUGUGGGGAGACCCCCGCCGUGCGGAUCAAAAGGAAACUGCGCGUUCGGCGACGGCGCGUUUCGCAUGGGGAAAUCCUACUGGACCUAUGGCGCAAGGUUUACUUGCAUUGCUACCACCGAUA
rnacentral:sRNA from 1 species